AGAGUUUGAUCCUGGCUCAGAUUGAACGCUGGCGGCAGGCCUAACACAUGCAAGUCGAACGGUAACAUUUCUAGCUUGCUAGAAGAUGACGAGUGGCGGACGGGUGAGUAAUGCUUGGGAACUUGCCUUCAGGAGGGGGAUAACAGUUGGAAACGACUGCUAAUACCGCAUAAUGUCUACGGACCAAAGCGGGCUUUUAGCUCGCACCUGAAGAGAGGCCCAAGUGAGAUUAGCUAGUUGGUAAGGUAAAGGCUUACCAAGGCGACGAUCUCUAGCUGUUCUGAGAGGAAGAUCAGCCACACUGGGACUGAGACACGGCCCAGACUCCUACGGGAGGCAGCAGUGGGGAAUAUUGCACAAUGGGGGAAACCCUGAUGCAGCCAUGCCGCGUGUGUGAAGAAGGCCUUCGGGUUGUAAAGCACUUUCAGUUGUGAGGAAAGGUUGGUAGUUAAUACCUGUCAGCUGUGACGUUAACAACAGAAGAAGCACCGGCUAACUCCGUGCCAGCAGCCGCGGUAAUACGGAGGGUGCGAGCGUUAAUCGGAAUUACUGGGCGUAAAGCGCACGCAGGCGGUUUGUUAAGCUAGAUGUGAAAGCCCCGGGCUCAACCUGGGAUGGUCAUUUAGAACUGGCAGACUAGAGUCUUGGAGAGGGGAGUGGAAUUCCAGGUGUAGCGGUGAAAUGCGUAGAUAUCUGGAGGAACAUCAGUGGCGAAGGCGGCUCCCUGGCCAAAGACUGACGCUCAUGUGCGAAAGUGUGGGUAGCGAACAGGAUUAGAUACCCUGGUAGUCCACACCGUAAACGCUGUCUACUAGCUGUUUGUGAAUUUAAUUCGUGAGUAGCGAAGCUAACGCGCUAAGUAGACCGCCUGAGAGUACGGCCGCAAGGUUAAAACUCAAAUGAAUUGACGGGGCCCGCACAAGCGGUGGAGCAUGUGUUUAAUUCGAUGCAACGCGAAGAACCUUACCUACACUUGACAUGCAUAGACUUUCCAGAGAUGGAAUUGUGCCUUUCGUACUCUUGACACAAGGUGCUGCAUGCUGUCGUCAGCUUCAGUCUUGAAUGCUUGGUUAAGUCCGGCAACGAAGCAAGCAUUGUCUUAUGGCAGCAUUUGUUGGAACUCUAAGGACUGCGGUACAAACGUAGAAGGCGGGGAACAGAAACG
rnacentral:rRNA from 1 species